GCCGCGGUGGUGAAAUUGGUAUACACGCCAGUCUUAGGAACUGGUAGGUUUUCCUGUGCGAGUUCGAGUCUCGCCCGCGGCA
rfam:Parcubacteria (Moranbacteria) bacterium GW2011_GWF1_34_10 TR51_C0001, whole genome shotgun sequence.